AACGAACGCUGGCGGCAUGCCUAACACAUGCAAGUCGAACGAGACCUUCGGGUCUAGUGGCGCACGGGUGCGUAACGCGUGGGAACCUGCCCUUAGGUUCGGAAUAACUCCCCGAAAGGUGUGCUAAUACCGGAUAAUGUCUUCGGACCAAAGAUUUAUCGCCUUUGGAUGGGCCCGCGUUGGAUUAGCUAGUUGGUAGGGUAAAAGCCUACCAAGGCGACGAUCCAUAGCUGGUCUGAGAGGAUGACCAGCCACACUGGGACUGAGACACGGCCCAGACUCCUACGGGAGGCAGCAGUGGGGAAUAUUGGACAAUGGGCGAAAGCCUGAUCCAGCAAUGCCGCGUGAGUGAUGAAGGCCUUAGGGUUGUAAAGCUCUUUUACCCGGGAUGAUAAUGACAGUACCGGGAGAAUAAGCUCCGGCUAACUCCGUG
rnacentral:rRNA from 1 species